rnacentral:rRNA from 1 species
UACAGAGGUCCCAAGCGUUGUUCGGAUUCACUGGGCGUAAAGGGUGCGCAGGCGGCCAAGUGUGUUAGGCGUGAAAGCCUGAGGCUUAACCUCAGAAUUGCACCUAAAACUACAUGGCUAGAGCAUUGGAGAGGGUAGCGGAAUUCACGGUGUAGCAGUGAAAUGCGUAGAUAUCGUGAGGAACACCAGAGGCGAAGGCGGCUACCUAGACAAUUGCUGACGCUCAGGCACGAAAGCGUGGGGAGCAAAAGGG